rnacentral:rRNA from 1 species
ACGGGGAAUAAGGGUUCGAUUCCGGAGAGGNAGCCUGAGAAACGGCUACCACAUCCAAGGNAAGGCAGCAGGCGCGCAAAUUACCCAAUCCUGACACAGGGNAGGUAGUGACAAUAUAUAACGAUACAGGGCCUUUGGUCUUGUAAUUGGAAUGAGUACAAUGUAAAUACCUUAACGAGGAACAAUUGGAGGGCAAGUCUGGUGCCAGCAGCCGCGGUAAUUCCAGCUCCNAUAGCGUAUAUUAAAGUUGUUGCAGUUAAAAAGCUCGUAGUUGAACUUUGGGCCUGGGCGGACGGUCUACCUAUGGUAAGCACUGUUGCGGCCGGGUCUUUCCUUCUGGCUAGCCCUCGGGCGAACCAGGACGAUUACUUUGAGGAAAUUAGAGUGUUCAAAGCAGGCCUUUGCUCGGAUAUAUUAGCAUGGAAUAAUAGAAUAGGACGCAUGGUUCUAUUUUGUUGGUUUCUAGGACCAUCGUAAUGAUUAAUAGGGACGGUCGGGGGCAUCAGUAUUCAGUCGUCAGAGGUGAAAUUCUUGGAUUGACUGAAGACUAACUACUGCGAAAGCAUUUGCCAAGGACGUUUUCAUUAAUCAAGAACGAAAGUUAGGGGAUCGAAGAUGAUCAGAUACCGUCGUAGUCUUAACCAUAAACUAUGCCGACNAGGGAUCGGGUGGUGCUACUUUG